UUCAGCACCUUCUUUGAAAAAAAAAACCAUCGGCGUUGUAGCACAUUUCUAGAAAAACCCUCUCUCAUUUUUUACUGAGAGCAGGAGACACUACCCCAGACAUGCAUCUUUAUCUUCACUGCCUUUUUUCGACGCCCAUACACUCACACACACGACAGUAAGCACCGAGCAGCAACUUCCCCAUCAUUGAUGCUUUUUUGCAUUUAUUUUAGCAACACUUCAUCAACACUAUUUUCCUAUUCUCUUCUUUCUUCCACCCUCACACCAUAAUAAAAUUGAUCAAUCUCACCACACGUAUUGAAAAUAUAACCGCAUUGGACGCAUCUAGCCGCGUAAAUUUGAGCGAGACACAUCGCAUCGCCACUUAUUUUUUCUUUCCCAUUCCAAUAAAUUUCCUCCGAAAACACUUGUGCGAAAAAUGCCGCAAUCCAAGAUGGCAGCAAUUUGUUUAAUUAACUAGAACACCUCCAUGCGCCGCGCAAAUCAACAUAAAAUAAUCGGAAAUGUAUAUUCUUCGGCACUGAAGACUUUCCACCAUUAAAUAUUAGAAACCACCGGAAACUUCCCGAAUGUAGUCAACGAUUGACUUCAUUUGCAAAUAUAGCCACAUCUUGUCACUUUAAUUUUCAAAGUUAAGCUGGCCACUCAAGCAUCGAAUAAAAAACUUCAAACAUUAAACGUUUGAGGAAAAAUCAAACUCCCGCUCGACGCCGCGCCGACGAAAACGACCCGACUCUCUCGGUUGCUACUAAGGAACUGGAAACCAGGGCAGUUGAAAUCCUCCGUAUAAACUGCAACAGCGCAGAGUUGGUACCGGGGGAGAUUGUGGUUAGGCAGAAAAUUCGAUUGCCUCAAUCCUGGAUCAUAUUAGCAAAGAGUUCCUGAGAACCUGAAUCGAAAAUCCGGAUGAUCAGCGCGUCUACCUGCUGGUGCCCUUAAUGAUAAAUUUGGCAACUGUUGACUGCUAUUGCCAACCAAGACGGCCACAAACUUUGGCGUCACGCACAACAUGCCGCAGGUUGAUGUUUGAUGCCGUUUUCUAUCGGUAAGAAUGGACCAAGGACAAGCAGGGAACCCUGAAAGUUGCAGCGAAUCGUAACCAAAUCUGGUCUCUGGGGUCUGGCUUCAAAGUCCGGAAAAGAAUUUCCAGCAUCGUUCCACGCAACUGAGCAUCUGAAUUCAUAAUGUUUAUUGUCUCCAACCCGAAGGUGGCCAAACUAGCGGAUUUUUAUCGGAUUGUUGUAGAUCGAUGGGUGGCACUGCGGAAUACGAAACUGCCCACGAUGGAAGUUUCACACGUCAACCAAUUGUCUUUACUAUUUGGUCAUGGAACAACCUGAAACACCAAGCAGAGAGGAGGACGUUGCAAUUCAGGCCAACGAAGAAACUUGAGCUGAUUUGUUCGAUACCACUUUAGAGAACUAGGAAUUCAAGCACCCAAAAUAAUCUACACGUAGCGGCUACGUGAAAAACAACAUAAUUUUUAUCCAAAUGAUUUUCACGUAAAAGCUACUAAAUGAAUAUGUAAACGCAUCCCUAUAGGAAUUGAUGCUAAAUGAAAUUCACCUACAACUUACGUGAACUUGUAGUCAGUUCAACACAGUGUGAUGGUGAAAGAUGUUUUUUUUUUUUUUUUUUUUGUUUCGAUUAUAGUCGUUUUACCAUCUUUAUGGCAUUCGCGACUUUAUCAACGUUGCAGUUGGCGGAUCGUUAUUGAAAAACUAUCCGGGUACAACUGUGUUCGAUGUUUACUCUUGGGCUCGAACUCGUGGACAUCGGCUCAGGAGGCAACAGACUUGCCAACUGAGCUAUAUCACAAGCCCCAUGGUGAAAGAUGUGUGAA